rnacentral:rRNA from 1 species
AGAGUUUGAUCCUGGCUCAGAACGUACGCUGGCGGCACGCCUAACACAUGCAAGUCGAACGCAGUAGCAAUACUGAGUGGCGAACGGGUGAGUAUAAUGUGGGUAUCUGCCUUUUGGUUUGGAAUAACACGAGGAAACUUGUGCUAAUACCGGAUAAGCCUUCACAGGGAAAGUUUUAUACGCCAAAAGAUGAGCCCGCACUUGAUUAGCUAGUUGGUAGGGUAAUGGCUUACCAAGGCUACGAUCAAUAGCUGAUCUGAGAGGAUGAUCAGCCACAUUGGGACUGAGACACGGCCCAAACUCCUACGGGAGGCAGCAGUGGGGAAUCUUGCACAAUGGAGGAAACUCUGAUGCAGCGAUGCCGCGUGAGUGAAGAAGGCCUUUGGGUUGUAAAGCUCUUUCGUCGGGGAAGAAAAUGACUGUACCCGAAUAAGAAGGUCCGGCUAACUUCGUGCCAGCAGCCGCGGUAAUACGAAGGGACCUAGCGUAGUUCGGAAUUACUGGGCUUAAAGAGUUCGUAGGUGGUUAAAAAAGUUGGUGGUGAAAGCCCAGAGCUUAACUCUGGAACUGCCAUCAAAACUUUUUAGCUAGAGUUUGAUAGAGGAAAGCAGAAUUUCUAGUGUAGAGGUGAAAUUCGUAGAUAUUAGAAAGAAUACCGAUUGCGAAGGCAGCUUUCUGGAUCAUUACUGACACUGAGGAACGAAAGCAUGGGUAGCGAAGAGGAUUAGAUACCCUCGUAGUCCAUGCCGUAAACGAUGUGUGUUAGACGUUGGAAAUUUAUUUUCAGUGUCGCAGCGAAAGCGAUAAACACACCGCCUGGGGAGUACGACCGCAAGGUUAAAACUCAAAUGAAUUGACGGGGACCCGCACAAGUAGUGGAGCAUGUGGUUUAAUUCGAAGAUACGCGCAGAACCUUACCAACACUUGACAUGUUCGUCGCGACUCUAAGAGAUUAGAGUUUUCGGUUCGGCCGGACGAAACACAGGUGCUGCAUGGCUGUCGUCAGCUCGUGUCGUGAGAUGUUGGGUUAAGUCCCGCAACGAGCGCAACCCUUACUUUUAGUUGCCAUCAUUUAGUUGGGCACUCUGAAAGAACUGCCAGUGAUAAGCUGGAGGAAGGUGGGGAUGACGUCAAGUCCUCAUGGCCCUUAUGUGUUGGGCUACACACGUGCUACAAUGGUAUCUACAACAGGAAGCAAGAUGGCAACGUUAAGCAAAUCCCAAAAAGAUACCUCAGUUCGGAUUGCACUCUGCAACUCGAGUGCAUGAAGCUGGAAUUACUAGUAAUCGUGGAUCAGCGUGCCACGGUGAAUACGUUCCCGGGUCUUGUACACACCGCCCGUCACACCAUGGGAGUUGGUUCUACCUUAAGGCAAAGUUUAAAACCUUUGACCACGGUAUAGUCAGCGACUGGGGUGAAGUCGUAACAAGGUAACC